rnacentral:lncRNA from 1 species
AUAGCUCUGCCUACCCCGCAGCCGUUUGACUUCAGGUGCUGGAAUUAAAGGCAUGGGUCACCAUUACCCAACUGGAUUAAACAUUCUUGAUUAACCUUAAGUAAAAGCAAUAACGUGUAACCAUGAGGAAAUGUUUCACAAGACAGAGAUUCAGGCUUCAGACCCACUUUUCCAUGCGACUGAAGACAGCAGCAGUUUUACUUCUCGGUGCCGUUUGAAAGAAGCCUAGACAAGAGCGGCAUCUUGCAGAAGGAAGGUGUCUCAGUGGGAAAGUGCUUCCUUAAUAGGCAUCCCAGUCCUGUUUUCCAUCCUCAGCACUAUGAGACAAGCAACCAAACACAAAACAAGGACACCUACUCCAAAGGUAGACAGGAAAUUCGCCCCAACAGAAAGGUGUGUGGUUCAACAAUGUCCACAGCAGCUCCGAGCCUACAGGGGAGUAGUGGUUGUCAAUUUGUGCUUUGGCUUGACUUCCUUCCAGCAGAGGUCACUGUGGAUGCUGGCAGUGGACACUUUAGGGAAAAGGAUCAGGUAGGCUUGGCUGACUGGAGUUUCCACUGCCUGGUUCUUUCACAGUCCAUAAUCUAUCCCCUUAAUUUAUGUGAAGGAGAUAAUCUUGAAGCGACCUGAAAAAACUUUGUGGUAAAAGCGAUGGUGGUAGGGAAACUUAGGUCAGUGGCUGGGACUAAUAAGGCUGAGAGGGCUGCAUUCAUCUUCUAGGAAUAUUAAGACAGAGUCUCAUUAUAUAGUUCAGGCUGACCUCUAACUCGU